AUCACAUACCCAAUUUUCUUAAUCUUUUUUUUUUCAAUUUUGGACUAACCAAAAUCAUCCCUCAAUGUUGGUCUGACCCAAAAUCCCAUACAUAAGUCUGUAGAGGCUGUCCCAGAUAUAAGCUCCUGAUCGGCUGUCCGAUGUAUAAAAAUUCAUGGAGACUGUCUCAGGCAUAAGCUUCUAGUGGACUGUCUCAAGUAUAAGCUCCUAACUAGUUAACUUAGGUAUAGAUAAGCUCUUAGAGGCUGUCCUAGAUAUAAGCUCAUAGUGGACUAUCUCAAAUAUAAGCUCCUCAAUCUACAAAC
rnacentral:lncRNA from 1 species